CUAGCAUUUUGUUGCGAUGGUUUGCCUGUAUAGCAGACAGGCGGGGAAUACGGUGAGAAUCCGUAACUGACGCGCAGCGGUGAGAGAGAACGAAGACACAAGGCUGAAAGCCAGACACUGUUUCCUCAAGUGUGCGCAAGGCAUGCUGAACGAAAUGGGAAGUCGUUGUCCUAGGCGGUUGUUCAACCGUGCUCUCAAGUCCGAAGACCGGUCAUCGUCGAAGGCAGUAC
rnacentral:ncRNA from 2 species